UACGUAGGGGGCUAGCGUUGUCCGGAAUCAUUGGGCGUAAAGAGCGUGUAGGCGGUCCGGUAAGUCCGCUGUGAAAGUCGGGGGCUCAACCCUCGAACGCCGGUGGAUACUGUCGGGCUAGAGUGCGGAAGAGGCGAGUGGAAUUCCUGGUGUAGCGGUGAAAUGCGUAGAUAUCAGGAGGAACACCGGUGGCGAAGGCGGCCUGCUGGGCAGUUGCUGACACUGAGGCGCGAAAGCGUGGGGAGCAAACAGG
rnacentral:rRNA from 1 species